GAAGAAUGUAUUUUCUUUUGUAAAUAUUCUCUUCCAUUUAAGGGUGGCACCCAGACCUGGCUCAGCAAAACCAGCGAGUGACUUGGAGAUCCCCAGCAAUGGAGGACAUGGAUUCCUUGCUUUUCACAACAAGGAAGGAAUGCUCCAAAGACUCCUCUUGUGUUCUCUUCUUCCCUCCUGAGCCCCCAAUGGCCACCACAGCUGCCCACAGCCAUCCACUCAACUCCAGGAUUUGUUUUCCUUUUUGUCCAAUCAUCAGUACAUCUCAGAGAUCUCUCUAUAUUGUCAUAUAUAGUUAUAGUAAUUAAAUUAUUUUCAUGGAACUAUAACAUUUCAUUGUAUAGUAUAUUUUUCAUUUUUCUGUCAAUAGAUGCUUAUGAUUUUUUUAGCUUUUGUUAUUGAAUAUGAAGCUAUUAUGAACAUUUGUAUUUGGACUCUGGUAUAUGUAUGGUACCAUUUUUUUGGAGUUACAUUGGAAUGGAAUUUCUGGAUCAUAUGAAAUGUGAAUAUGUAGCAUGUAAGAUAAUGUUGACCUCUAUCCCUCCAAGUGGUAUUGUUAAUUCACUUUCUCCAAUGUUAAAAGACUUCACAUUGUUCUGCUUUGUUACCAACAGUUAUUACUGUCAGACUUUAUUAAUUUGUCAAUUUAGUGGAUAAACAAAGUAAUUCACUUAGUGAUUUUAAUGGGUUUAAUGACUUCCAUGCAUUUGCUUCACAUUUGUGUAUCUUCCUUAAUGCCUCUUCAUGUCAGUUGUCCAUUUUAAUUUUGACUUAUUCAUUCUAUUAAUGAAUCAUGGUUUGGCUCCACAUCUGUUAUGCUCUUUAUGUUAU
rnacentral:lncRNA from 1 species